AGUUGGGCUCCCCAAUUAUAGUAGAAAUAAAUGGAGCACAGAAUAGUAGACACAGGUGGUAGCACUUCAGCACAAGUGGUCCCAAUUUCCAUGGCUGAUUAACAGAAUGGAACUUGGAGUGUUUUGACUCCCAGGCUUCUGUGUUGAUAAGGAACCAAAGGUGGGAACACUAGGAAUGAAAUAGAGGGGCAGCCUAGACAUAUAUAAACAAGUACAUUCCAGGUCACAUAGGAAGAAACCUGACUCAUCCAUAGUGGUAAUUCAUAGCUGCUUACUCAGUUUGCAGACCUACAGCUCCUUGUCUGAGGAGGGGGCUAGACUUUUGGCAACAUGGCCACAAUAUAGGAUAUAACUCUUUCUCUGAGUCUUCAAGAUGUGUGGCCAUUUUCCAGGGUGUGUGCAGUGAAAAAGGGGAUUUUUUUUUUUUAGGUUUUCUGUAGGUUAUUAGUGACAUUGAGGAAAAGCUAAUUCUUAACCUCACCACUUCCAUAUCUACCAUGAUGGCCACUGAUCAAAAUGUGGCUUAUAAAUAUUAGAUGAUGGAAAGAGUCUUGACCAGAGUCCAUCUCUGUGUGGGUCCAAUUGGGACCACACACCAGUCCUGGCAUAUAUAGUGAAAACAUCUCUCUCUCUGUCUCCCUCCCUAACUAUCUACCUACCUAGCAGCUGGCAGAAUCUGCACAUUGGUACACUGAUCCAUGAAAUGAGGGUUAUUACAUAGCAAAAGCUAAAUUUACAUUCUUAGUGUCGACCUUUUGCCAUGACAGCAAAAUCAAAAGCAAUAGCACUUCUUGAAGGAAGUACAGAAUUAAUUGCUACUGUCAAAGACUUGAAACUUGCAGAGGUGCUUAUUCCUACUGCACCAUUAUUUAAACUGCCUGUUUGAACAAGCAGAUGUUGAACUUAUCUUGGAGAAUUACUGUGGAUUGUCUUAAACAUAAUGAGAUGAUUUGUUUCAGUUCUUCUAGAAGCUAAUACAAGGAGUUGAAGGCAGGAGUUUGUAGGAGAGGUGAUCUCUGGAAGCACAAUGCAGGAAUGGGGAAGAUAAGUAACUUUACCGUUGUACUGUGCAUUAGUGGAGUGAUUACUACUAUGUGAAACGGGCUCAGUCCUUCUAGGGACCUUUGAGGAACUGUGCAAAUUAUUACUUAGAAUUGUCUAUUGAGAGAUUGGGAAGUUGCAGUAUUUAUCACUGAUUCCUCUCUCAUUAGUAGAGAACUGCCUUUGGUAAUGAUAAGCGUGGCGUUUUGAGGCUGAUCUGUGAAGCUCAGAGGGAUCAAGUAGCUUAACUAAAGUCAAAUAGUUGAAAAGUGGCAGAAUGGAGGCUUGAACCAUGUUUUCUGUCUCCAGAAUGAAUCUUUUUCUUUCCUCAUACUGCUACCCCUGGGCAAAUGCCUAAGAGUCAACAAAAAUGGCUGUUGAUACAUAAAAUUAAGAUACUUCUCACCAGAUGAUGGUAUAGAGGUGGGAAGUUUAGAGGCACACACACACACUUCAGGUGUUCUGAACACAUUAAUUGCCCCAUGUUGUGACCCCUUUCUAUAUUCUCCUUGUUGCAUGUAUAACUAGAGAGGCCUGCGUUAUAUUCACAGGGGCCCCAGGGCCAACUUCUAUCUAUACCUAUAUGAAAUGUAUACAUUUGUCAAGAUUAAAUUGAUGGUGGUUUUCAUAUAAUUGUUGCAUUUUUAGGACAAAGCUAAUGGAAGUGACAAAUUGCUUUUCAAUACAGACCAUUCAUGUUAUAACUAGUAAAAAUUAUCUGUAACAAUAAUAAAAUUGCCCUUGGUAUUUUUAAUAACUAAUACUCUUAGUUUCUAGUUUCUUUUUAUUUUGUAUCUUUCAGGGCCUUCAUAAAUAUUUUAAUGAUAAGUUGAAAGGUUUAUCAAAGAGGGCUACAUUAUAGUACCUUAGUCUAUAAAUACUGGCUGUACCUUUAAACAACAAUAUGUAAUAAUAUUAAUGCAACUUAAAAGGGACAUAUAAUCAACGGAUCAGUAUUAAAAGCAAUAUAGAAGGAAAAACAUGGCUAAUAUGACCAGUGGAGUAAUUGAAUGAAAGCCAGCUACCCCCUUAAACACAUGCAAACACACACACACACACACACACACACACACACACACACACUCCCAAUUCAGGACAAAUACAUGGGUUAAAAUAGUGAGAAAUUGAAAAGUAGUA
rnacentral:lncRNA from 1 species